GUCAUAGUCUGACAACACCGCUGCAGGGAGGGAAAGAAAGACAGAAUUCAACCCAGCCAUAUUUUACAGACCCUGAUAUAGUAACUCCGGGCCGCUGACAGCUUUGGCUGGGCCCAGGACAAAGUCAUCUGAAAGGACCCCCAUCCAAUGUAAUGAGGACCCAAUGUUGGGCCCCCCAACAUCCUGGGCCUGGGACAGCUGACCUCUGUUUGAUAUGACCAUGUCUGUGAGGAUGCGGAGGAGGAUGUGAGUGCUGAUGGUGGUCAUGAGGCGAGGAGGAGGAGGAGGAGGAGGAGGAGGAGGAGAGGAUGCUGAUGAUGAUGAGGAGAAGAGGAUUCUGAUGAUGAGGAGAAGAGGAUGAUGAGGAGGAGGAGGAAGAGAGACUUCUGAUGAUGAUGAUGAGGAGGAGGACAGGAGAGAAUGAUGAUGAUGAGGAGCAGGACAGGAUUCUGAUGAUGAUGAUGAGGAGGAGAGGAUGCUGAUGAUUAUGAGGCGGAGGAGGAGGAGGAAGAGAGGAUGCUGAUGAUGCAGAGGAGGAUAGGACUGAUGUUGAGAAGGAGGAGAGGAUGAUGAUGAGGAUGGAGAUGUGAUUGUGAUGGGGAGAUGGUGAUGCUGAUGCUGAGGAUGAUGGUGAUGAUAAUGAUGAUGAUGAUGGUGAUAAUGAUGAUGACGGUGAUGAUAAUGAUGAUUGAGGAUGAUGGUCCGGAGGAGGAUGAUGAUUGGUUAUGGGGAUGAUGAUGAUGAUGAUGAUGAUGAUGAUGAACAUGAUGUGAGGAGGAUGGAAAGUAAAACUGGACAAGUGCAUCUUGCAAAUGAAAUAGUAUCCACCAAUUUUUUAAUUUUUUUAUUCAUAAUGACUGUCCAGAAGUCCCAUCAUCUAUGUGUGAAUUCUUUUGAGAACUUAGUUUUUAAACCUAUGUGUAUAUAACGUGUUUUGAAAUGCAAUGCAAUGGAAUACCCAGUGCAAAAAAUUUCAGCUUCCCAAAAUGUUACAAAAUGGAUAUACAGUACAGUACAGUAUUUCUCAACAAAACUCUUCAAAUGCAGAAUGCAUGGAGAAGAAGUUGUUCAUAAUUAUUCAAAGUAAAUUGAAUGUUACAUGUAAGUCGGAGCAAUGACCAACUGACUUUGGUCA